rnacentral:rRNA from 1 species
GACGAACGCUGGCGGCGUGCCUAAUACAUGCAAGUCGAACGCAGUGGGGACGGGUGAGUAACACGUGGGUAACCUCCCAUCAGAGGGGAUAACACUUGGCAACAGGUGCUAAACCGAUACUGAUGGAUGAACCCGCGGGGCAUUAGCUAGUUGGUGAGGUAACGGAUCACCAAGGCCACGAUGCAUAGCCGACCUGAGAGGGUGACCGGCAACACGUGGCCUGGGACACGGCCCAGACUCCUACGGGAGGAAGCAGUAGGGAAUCUUCGGCAAUGGACGAAAGUCUGACCGAGCAACGCCGCGUGAGUGAAGAAGGUUUUCGGAUCGUAAAACUCUGGUGUUAGAGAAGCGGUAUCUAACCAGAAAGCCACGGCUAACUCCGUGCCAGCAGCCGCGGUAAUUC